rnacentral:rRNA from 1 species
AUUGAACGCUGGCGGCAGACCUAACACAUGCAAGUCGAGCGGAUGAAGGGAGCUUGCUCCUGGAUUCAGCGGCGGACGGGUGAGUAAUGCCUAGGAAUCUGUCUGGUAGUGGGGGAUAACGUCCGGAAACGGGCGCUAAUACCGCAUACGUCCUGAGGGAGAAAGUGGGGGAUCUUCGGACCUCACGCUAUCAGAUGAGCCUAGGUCGGAUUAGCUAGUUGGUGGGGUAAAGGCCUACCAAGGCGACGAUCCGUAACUGGUCUGAGAGGAUGAUCAGUCACACUGGAACUGAGACACGGUCCAGACUCCUACGGGAGGCAGCAGUGGGGAAUAUUGGACAAUGGGCGAAAGCCUGAUCCAGCCAUGCCGCGUGUGUGAAGAAGGUCUUCGGAUUGUAAAGCACUUUAAGUUGGGAGGAAGGGCAGUAAGUUAAUACCUUGCUGUUUUGACGUUACCAACAGAAUAAGCACCGGCUAACUUCGUG